GAGGAGUUCCAAGGUUAAUAACUGACAUCAUUGAUGAAGAUAUCAAAAUUCUCAGACCAAAGUCCAACAUGAGUUCAUCCUGGGAUACUGCUACCAGGGAAAACAAUAACAACAAUGAAGAUUGGAGCCAACCAGAAGUUCUUCCCAGAGCUCUGAGUCCUGCACUUCUUUCCUCUUUAGAGGCAAGAAGGGGCUAAAAGGGUCAGGGCUGCUGGGUUGGAACCAGCGCCCUACCCUUUGAGCUUUGGCGCUGCCCCUUUUGAUGGAUUUUGAAUACACAGCCAUCAAGGUAAAUGUGCAUUCCAAAUAAAGACAAUGCCUG